rnacentral:misc_RNA from 1 species
UCUCCGUAGGUGAACCUGCGGAGGGAUCAUUACAGAGUUCAUGCCCUUCCGGGUAGAUCUCCCACCCUAUGUUAUUAUUACUUUGUUGCUUUGGCGGGCCGUUAGGCUCCGGCCCGACUACCGGCCCCGGCUGGUAAGCGCCCGCCAGAGGACCCAAAACCCUGAAUAUUAGUGUCGUCUGAGUACUAUAUAAUAGUUAAAACUUUCAACAACGGAUCUCUUGGUUCUGGCAUCGAUGAAAAACGCAGC